AAGAUCUUCUCUCCUAUGGCGUUUGCAAAAUUGGAUGCGUAAAGCUUCUCUGUCACUACUGGACCAGGAUUUGCCAGAAGAAGCUUGCAUAAAAGGAAGAACUCACGGAAGUCAUCGAACCAACAAUAUUCAUUGUUCCUAGUGCAACCAUUUCUUUGUUUCCAUCUAGUUGAUAGUCCUUCAUAGAUGCAAAUGUUCUUCCAAUUGCCGAGGCUUCCUGGCCAUCGAAAUGUAAUGGUUUAAUUAGAACUACAUAGUAAAAUGGACAACUCUUCAAGAGAGGUAUUGGUGUCAAAGUUACUCACAGUCAAUGCUAUCAUGCCUGCCACGAUGCCAACUUUAAAACCUUUUCCAAGGUUUUCUCCUGUUAAAUAAAGAUCUUUAACAGAUGAUGGAUUGAUUCCUUUUUCUAUUUUUCUCACCUUCACAUAUCAAUGGACAAAAACUUCAGUUAUGAUGUAACUAAUAUUAUGACACUCUUGCCAUCAGUUGUUCCUAAAAUACGCUAUCAGUCUUUUGAUGAGAAUGAACAUAUACUUACAAUUUCUACUCCUUGCUUAUCUGCACGGGUUAUGAAUACAAAAAAAGUGGACAAAAUAACGGAUAUCAAUGGAGCAAUUGCUGGCAGCCAGAAUAAUCUCCUGUUUUUCUUUCCCUGACGCACAUAAUAUGAAUGAAUGAGAAAACAAUUUACAAACUCCUAACGAUUAAUUAGGGAAUAAUAGCAAAAUGCAUAAAGGGGAGGUAUAAUGUCUUACAAUGUAUUUGGUGACCAGAAGAAAACUCAAAAAGCUAGCUCCAAUGACUAUAGUUUCCCAGUUCCACUGCAACAUAAGUGUUAUAAAUUAUUAGUCAAUUUUGUGUUCAACACACAGAUAGCAGUAACACUAACAGUUGGCUAUCUAAAUUUAGGCACGGACUUGUUCAGAUUAGGAUUCCUGGUAAUUAAUAAUUUGCAAUUAUAUUGAGAGAGAGAAGGAGAGUAUACUCCAUGAUGGGCUGUAUGGAAUACUGAAUGCAGCACAGAGACAAUAUCAGUUUUCGUUGUGAACAUUUUAGUUUUAAUGCCAAGAAAACCUUUGAGCUGUUGAAGGGAAAUUGUGAUAGCAGCACCCCCCAUAAAACCGACAAUAGCAGCAUGGGAUAGGAAGUCGAUCAAGAAUCCUAAUCUGGUUAAAUAAAUAAAUAAGGCAACCAUAUUAUAUGGUGUGAUAUUAAACAGUGUAACAUUAGUUGUAACUGGUAGCGGUUGCACAAGACAUAAACUUCACUGGUUGAAAUAUCUAAAUGCAAAAUCCAUAUAUUGGGCGGUAGUGUUGUCAUACCUAAGAACACCAAGCGUUGCUUGAGUAAUCCCAGCAAAAAAAGUGGCUGUAAAAGCAAGUCGCUGAUAUUCUUCCGCAUUUUUAAUAGGAUCAAUCUCAUUACUAAGUAGGGUCCCCAACAAGAGAGAAACCACUGCUACAGGUCCUAUAGCAAUAUCACGAGAGCUACCCAUGACAGCAUAGAUCAAUGGUGGAACAAAACUUGAGUCUGUAAACGGGUAGAAAGAACAAAAUACAAAAGGAUCAGUCUAACGUGCAAAGAAAAAACUUGAGCUGCUGGUGAGAGGCAAGUAGAGUCUUACACAGUCCAUACUGUGGAGACAAAUGUGCAAGCUUGGCGUAUCCAAUAUCCUGUUUUUCAGCCAAGCAUUAGAAGUUAGAACCAUGAAAAAUGGGGCAUGCAACAGGAAUUAUUCUCAUAGACUUCAAAACUUGAAAUCCACAGUAAAGCAAAUUUAAAUACCUGAGGAAUGCAAAGACUCGCAAUAGUGAGACCAGAUAUUAAAUCCCCUCUAAAUUUUUUAAGGUUGUAACUUCUUCCCCACUUAAGUAUUGGAAAUAUGGCCUCAAUACCGAGGAUGAACUUCCUUGAUAUAGAUUGAUCUUUGAAGGGUCUUAGAGGAUCAUCAGCAAAUAAUAUUUCUUUAAUGAUGUCUUGGAAUUCCUUGAAGAGGUUCUGUCUUGGAGGAACUGCCACUUUGUAGACUUGUGGUACCUGACCAUGUGAAGAAGACGACAUACUUCUCAGAUCGAUCUCUUUGGUUUCAAGGUUCUGAUCAGAAGGACGGCCCAUUGAAGUCAUCAACCGGGACCUUCAGUCUGUAAUACAGGGAAAAGUCAUAACCAGAAAUACUGGGAAAAAUAAGGACAUCAAGGAGUGUGAUUGAUUAGCAAUCACAAAAUAUGGUUUAUACUGCAUGCAAUAAUGAAGUUUACCAUGUUGCUUAAAACUAUAAUAUAUAGUCCAAUAAUGAAGAUAAUCAGGCCCCUACUAUGGAAUUUUGGAUGUUGAUUUGUGACUGAUAGAUUUUGAAAUGCUUACUAACCUGAAUAGAAGAGGAGGAGGGGAUACGUGAUAGAAGAUUGGAAUGGUCACUGGUUCAAACUGUAAUGCCUUCUUAAACAGGUAAGUUGUGGAUUAUAACCUCAAAGACUUUAUCUUUCAGGUCAAUGUUCUCAAGCUGGGAUUGGAAAACAAGACUAUAUAAUGUGUGAACCGGAUCGAAUGAAUACAAGUCAAAAUCAUGCAUUACAAUGCUUAAUAUUCAAUCCUGACCAAACUACCCUGGAAUUCCCAAGUCGGACAAUCUUCUUAUAGCAAGUAUCUAUCGUAACUUCAGAAGAACGACGGAGAACACAAUAAGUCUUGUACGUUUUGGGGAACUUAGUACAGCUAGAAGUUAAUAAAAUCAAAUUACAACA